rnacentral:lncRNA from 10 species
AAAUGACAGAGCUCACAGGCAGGGUACUUCCAGCACCAAUGCUGCAAUAUGGAGGCCGGGUAAGCUUUUUAUUUUAUUCAGCAAGCUUCUUCCACAACCAGUCAAAAAGAGAAUAAUCCAGGGUUUCUCUACUCUGCCACUGCUGAAUUUACCCAUAGUUUUGUUCAUUAUUGCCUUUUGUGUUCUGGCUCAUACCUAAUAGAAUUUUGUUUAUUCACUAGUCAAUAGUAAAAUGGCCUUAGAUUGUAAUGUCUUUUCUC